rnacentral:rRNA from 1 species
GAUGAACGCUGGCGGCGUGCUUAACACAUGCAAGUCGAACGAGGUAUACCCGAUUGAGCUUUUCGGAGCAAUUGAAAGUAUACCGAGUGGCGGACGGGUGAGUAACGCGUGGAUAACCUGCCUUACACUGGGGGACAACAGUUGGAAACGACUGCUAAUACCGCAUAAGCGCACAGUACCGCAUGGUACGGUGUGAAAAACUCCGGUGGUGUAAGAUGGAUCCGCGUCUGAUUAGCUAGUUGGUAGGGUAAUGGCCUACCAAGGCAACGAUCAGUAGCCGGCCUGAGAGGGUGUACGGCCACAUUGGGACUGAGACACGGCCCAGACUCCUACGGGAGGCAG